UAGGGAAUCUUCGGCAAUGGACGGAAGUCUGACCGAGCAACGCCGCGUGAGUGAAGAAGGUUUUCGGAUCGUAAAGCUCUGUUGUUAGAGAAGAACGUUGGUAGGAGUGGAAAAUCUACCAAGUGACGGUAACUAACCAGAAAGGGACGGCUAACUACGUGCCAGCAGCCGCGGUAAUACGUAGGUCCCGAGCGUUGUCCGGAUUUAUUGGGCGUAAAGCGAGCGCAGGCGGUUCUUUAAGUCUGAAGUUAAAGGCAGUGGCUUAACCAUUGUACGCAUUGGCAACUGGAGGACUUGAGUGAAGAAGGGGAGAGUAGAAUUCCAUGUGUAGCGGUGAAAUGCGUAGAUAUAUGGAGGAACACCGGUGGCGGAAGCGGCUCUCUGGUCUGUAACUGACGCUGAGGCUCGAAAGCGUGGGGAGCAAACAGG
rnacentral:rRNA from 1 species